rnacentral:lncRNA from 1 species
CAUCCUGGUCCGUCCUGUGCUGCCUCCUAGGACUAGGCCUCCAGUGGGUCUCGCCAGUCCAGAGCCGCCAGAGCUGCUCGCCAGUCCGGAGCCGCCAGAGCUGCCCGCCAGUCCGGAGCCGCCAGAGCUGCCCGCCAGUCCGGAGCCGCCAGAGCUGCCCGCCAGUCCGGAGCCGCCAGAGCUGCCCACCAGUCAGGAGCCGCCAGAGCCGCCCGCCGGUCCGGAGCCGUCAGAGCCGCCCGCCGGUCAGGAGCUGUCAGAGCCGCCCGCCGGUCAGGAGCUGUCAGAGCCGCCCGCCGGUCAGGAGCCGUCAGAGCCGCCCGCCGGUCAGGAGCCGUCAGAGCCGCCCGCCGGUCAGGAGCCGCCAGAGCCGCCCGCCAGUCAGGAGCCGCCAGAGCCGCCCGCCUGUCCGGAGCCGCCAGAGCCGCCCACCUGUCCGGAGCCGCCAGAGCCGCCCGCCUGUCCGGAGCAGUCAGAGCCGCCCGCCAGCUCGGCCAUGCUGUUUCCAGGCCCACCCAGCUAAUUGGCAUACACGAUGAGGCGGCUCCUGAAAGUUCGACCGUGGGGCAGGGGAUUCCAGUACCUGAUUGACGGGGAGGGUUAUGGCCCGGAGGAGAGGUGAUGGGUCCCCGCUAGGGACAUCCUGGACCCAGGCCUCAUCACUGAGUUUCAACGCCGGCACCCCGGUCAACCAGUUUUCCCAGUUUUGACCAUUCUGCCUGGCCUGACCUUGAGCCUGCCUGCCGUUAUGUACCUUAUCACACCACCCUGGAUUACUGACCUCUCCCUGCCCUGACCCUGAGCCUGCCUGCUGUUCUGUACCUUUCGGACUCUGCUCUGGAUUACUGACCUCUGCCUGCCUUUGACCUGUCGUUAUGC